GAUGAACGCUAGCGGGAGGCCUAACACAUGCAAGCCGAGCGGUAUUUGUUCUUCGGAACAGAGAGAGCGGCGCACGGGUGCGGGACACGUGUGCAACCUGCCUUUAUCUGGGGGAUAGCCUUUCGAAAGGAAGAUUAAUACCCCAUAAUAUAUUGAGUGGCAUCAUUUGAUAUUGAAAACUCCGGUGGAUAGAGAUGGGCACGCGCAAGAUUAGAUAGUUGGUGAGGUAACGGCUCACCAAGUCAAUGAUCUUUAGGGGGCCUGAGAGGGUGAUCCCCCACACUGGUACUGAGACACGGACCAGACUCCUACGGGAGGCAGCAGUGAGGAAUAUUGGACAAUGGGUUAGCGCCUGAUCCAGCCAUCCCGCGUGAAGGACGACGGCCCUAUGGGUUGUAAACUUCUUUUGUAUAGGGAUAAACCUACUCUCGUGAGAGUAGCUGAAGGUACUAUACGAAUAAGCACCGGCUAACUCCGUG
rnacentral:rRNA from 1 species